UACGAAGGGGCUAGCGUUGCUCGGAAUCACUGGGCGUAAAGGGUGCGUAGGCGGGUUUUAAGUCAGGGUGAAAUCCUGGAGCUCAACUCCAGAACUGCCUUUGAUACUGAAGAUCUUGAGUUCGGGAGAGGUGAGUGGAACUGCGAGUGUAGAGGUGAAAUUCGUAGAUAUUCGCAAGAACACCAGUGGCGAAGGCGGCUCACUGGCCCGAUACUGACGCUGAGGCACGAAAGCGUGGGGAGCAAACAGG
rnacentral:rRNA from 1 species